rnacentral:rRNA from 1 species
UGAACGCUGGCGGCGUGCUUAACACAUGCACGUCGAACGAUGAAGCCCAGCUUGCUGGGUGGAUUAGUGGCGAACGGGUGAGUAACACGUGAGUAACCUGCCCUUAACUCUGGGAUAAGCCUGGGAAACUGGGUCUAAUACCGGAUAGGAGCGUCCACCGCAUGGUGGGUGUUGGAAAGAUUUAUCGGUUUUGGAUGGACUCGCGGCCUAUCAGCUUGUUGGUGAGGUAAUGGCUCACCAAGGCGACGACGGGUAGCCGGCCUGAGAGGGUGACCGGCCACACUGGGACUGAGACACGGCCCAGACUCCUACGGGAGGCAGCAGUGGGGAAUAUUGCACAAUGGGCGCAAGCCUGAUGCAGCGACGCCGCGUGAGGGAUGACGGCCUUCGGGUUGUAAACCUCUUUCAGUAGGGAAGAAGCGAAAGUGACGGUACCUGCAGAAGAAGCACCGGCUAACUACGUG